ACCGCCUCCCGUCAGCUCCUUUAAGUAGAAGCCAGAAGCAGCGCUUCGUUCUUUCCGGGACUGAGACGCUGGAACAUUGAGGUGUGUUUGUGAUGGGCUCUAGCGGGUCGGCGUGGGAACCGGGUUCUGGCCGGGCCGAGGGCGUCGGAUCUCCCUGUCCUCCUCUUUGAUCUCUCCCCACAGUCCCUCAAUAAAAUAAUUUGAUGCCA